UCGACGGCGACUCGGACAAGACCAUGUUCACACAUGAGCAGUCGCGGGCUCCUUGCCUCUCGCAAUCAACCACCGAAGAGGCCAUCCUUCUUAGUCCUGUGCUCAUUCAUAUCUUUAGGCCAUCCUUUUUAGUCAUGUGCAUUGCAUGUGCCAUCUACCCCGCUCUACAGGAAGUCAACGUACCCCAUGUGCCAGUUCGCCUCACCACCUCGAGCGGGAGGCACAACCACAAUGUGGUCGUCACACGCACCUUAACGACACAACCCUUGGGCCCCGUGCUAGCUGGGCUCCAGAAGUAUCACAAGCUCUCGCGAAUGCAGCAGGCUUCGGGGACUUCGGCCCUUGUCUAGACCUUGGUAGGUCAUUAAGCCACCCUCGUCGAGACAACGGUCAAUCCACCGAUGGGCCCCCUCCGCUCCCUACGGGCGGUCGGGUGCCUUAACAGCAUCGGCAUCG
rnacentral:misc_RNA from 1 species